rnacentral:ncRNA from 2 species
AUUGUUUUUUGCUGUUGGCUAAGGAGGAGAACCACAGAAAUUUGUUCCACCUUCUGUUAGGUGGGAGAGGCAUGGUUUUUCCAGUGACUUAGGAGCCCCUCGUGCUGAUGUGUUAGGGUGACUGUUUUGAUUAUGUUGGAAUCACAGGCUAGAGCUGUCUCUUCACCCAGAUCUUCGGGGUCGGUGUGAAGACUGCUGACCGGUGGUACCGGGAAGGACUGCGAACCUUAGAUGACCUCCGAGAGCAGCCCCAGAAACUAACCCAACAGCAGAAAGCGGGGCUCCAGCACCACCAGGACCUGAGCACCCCAGUCCUGCGGUCCGAUGUAGAUGCCCUGCAGCAGGUGGUGGAGGAAGCUGUGGGGCAGGCCCUGCCUGGGGCCACCGUCACGCUGACCGGCGGCUUCCGCAGGGCCAUGACGUGGACUUCCUCAUCACCCACCCCAAGGAGGGUCAGGAGGCGGGGCUGCUGCCUAGAGUGAUGUGCCGCCU